rnacentral:miRNA from 1 species
ACAUCCACCAGCCUAGCUCGCA